rnacentral:rRNA from 1 species
UAGUCCACGCCGUAAACUAUGUCAACUAGCCGUCGGGUCCAUUUAAGGAUUUGGUGGCGCAGCUAACGCGAUAAGUUGACCGCCUGGGGAGUACGGCCGCAAGGUUAAAACUCAAAGGAAUUGACGGGGGCCCGCACAAGCGGUGGAGCAUGUGGUUUAAUUCGAUGCAACGCGAAGAACCUUACCAGCCCUUGACAUCCUCGGAACUUUCUAGAAAUAGAUUGGUGCCUUCGGGAACCGAGUGACAGGUGCUGCAUGGUUGUCGUCAGCUCGUGUCGUGAGAUGUUGGGUUAAGUCCCGUAACGAGCGCAACCCUUGUCCUUAGUUGCCAGCAUUUCGGAUGGGAACUCUAAGGAGACUGCCGGUGACAAACCGGAGGAAGGUGGGGAUGGACGUCAAGUCAUCAUGCUCCUUAUGUCCUGGGGCUACAAACGUGCUACAAUGGGGCGCUACAAAGGGGCAGCUAUACCGCAAGGGUAAUGACGAAACCGAAAAAAGCGUUACUCAGUU